GAUGAAGAACGUAGCGAAAUGCGAUAAGUAAUGUGAAUUGCAGAAUUCAGUGAAUCAUCGAAUCUUUGAACGCACAUUGCGCCCCUUGGUAUUCCGAGGGGCAUGCCUGUUCGAGCGUCAUUAUAACCCUCAAGCUCAGCUUGGUGUUGGGGCCUGCUGCACUGGCAGCCCUUAAAAUCAGUGGCGGCGCCAUCUGGCUCUAAGCGUAGUAAUUCUUCUCGCUAUGGAGUCCUGGUGGAUGCUUGCCAUCAACCCCCAAUUUUUCUAUGGUUGACCUCGGAUCAGGUAGGGAUACCCGCUGAACUUAAGCAUAUCAUAAGCGGAGGA
rnacentral:misc_RNA from 1 species